rnacentral:lncRNA from 1 species
CCUCCUGCUUCAGGCUCCCAGGUAGCUGGGACUACAGCUUCUGUCAUUUUCUGGCCUGAAAGUGAUGUUUCCCCUGACAUGCUAUGGCCCGGAUAAACCUUGCGGACAUCACGCUAAGUGGUGCAGGCGAAGUCAUUCGUCACAGAAGGACAAAUACUGUGGAAUUCCACUUCCUGUGAGGUCCCUGGCAUAGUUAAACUCUUAGCAACAUAAAGUAGAAUGGAUGGAUCUGGGACAGAGCUAAUGGAGGCUCUUCUGGCGUGUCCUGAGGACUUUGGCUCAAUCUUG